rfam:Wolbachia endosymbiont of Glossina morsitans morsitans contig_0180, whole genome shotgun sequence.
GCAAUCUUCACUAGAAAGGAUGUCAUCCCAGUGCCCAGACACUGGGAUCCAGGAAUUUUAUUAAGUUGGUAAGCAUAAAAGUAGCCGUUUUAUGUUAAAAUACAACGUUUUAAUGAUUAAAAAAAGGCUGGAUUCCAGUGUCAAGCACUGGAAUGACACCAUUUGCUGUGCAAUUU